rnacentral:rRNA from 1 species
ACGGGGGGUGCGAGCGUUGUCCGGAAUCACUGGGCGUAAAGGGCGCGUAGGUGGUUUGAUAAGGGUGUGGUGAAAUCCCCGGGCUCAACCUGGGAACUGCCUUUGUGACUGCAAGGCUGGAGUGCGGCAGAGGGGGAUGGAAUUCCGCGUGUAGCAGUGAAAUGCGUAGAUAUGCGGAGGAACACCGAUGGCGAAGGCAAUCCCCUGGGCCUGCACUGACGCUCAUGCACGAAAGCGUGGGGAGCAAACAGGA